CUGAAAAGUGAAGCCAAAACAUCUCGAUCGCCCCCUAGUGACCGGUCCCAGUAUAGGUCAUAAAGCCCGCCUCCCCAUGUUAUUCAAUGGGACUUGAGACCAACAAAAAAAAUUAAUUACACUUCAAUUAUCUUUUUUCCGAAGCUGGUUUCUGUCAUUUACUGUAGUUUUUAUCACGCUGAUGUAAAUUUAAAUGUUUGUUUUUAAAAUAGGUUUGUGUUUAGUUAGUUAUUUAAUGAUAUAAAAACGGUGGUGUCACGUCAUGAUUGACAGCUGUGAUAUCGUGUGAUAUGCGCAUUUUACGAGAGCGAGGGCGGGGUUUUGACUUCGCGCCUUCCCUUCCUGCUCACUACUGCGCAUGACUGGUCCCGAAAUCGCUAUUGCGCAGACUCAAGACCCAAGAUGUCAGCGCCAUAUCGGGCAACUGGCGGCUUCACUUUUCACCAAUGGAAGAGAGCGAACAGGCGUCGUCCAUCUUUUUUACAGUCUAUGCUUUCACAUGUCAGCGUGUUGUUGAAAUGAAGGGAUUAUGGAUUCUGAAGACCAUAAUAAUAAGGACAAUGCAGGACAAAGGCUGUCAAAUAACUGGAGUGUUUGUCUUGAUGGCAAUAUGCACUGUAUGUUAUUCUGGGACAGAAGUUUGACUUCACUGAAGUAAACAUGAAGAACAUAGGAAAAUGGUGGUGUGCCAUCUUGCUUGAAAAUUAAACAUGGGAGAAAGAGAAAAUGAGCUGUUGUAGCUGAAGAAGAAGAAGAAUGCUCUGCACUCCCUGAAACCUACGGGAAGAAAAAAAAUGAACUUGCAUAUGAAACAGACCAAACCGCAGUUGUGCCCUUUGUUUUUAGCAAGGAUGAGCUGUUAAAAGAUGAUGACCCUCCAUCAAGCUUUAUCUUCAAGGUAGUUGAAUGUUAUAUAAUGUGCUUUUUUUAAAAAUGUAACGGCCUGUGCUAACUUUUCAGUUAUCAGGAGCGUUGCUGAAGAACAUAGUUGUUCUUCAAGAAGAAGAUGCUGCCUACACGCUUGGCUUGCUCAAGGUUCAGGGACAUAGUUGGUGAUGACAAGUUCAAGAAUCAGGCACACUUCUUAUGGCUAGAAAGUAAAUAUUGACAUUAAAAAAUAAAAUGCAUAACAAGAACAUCAUUGAUAAUGUUAUGUGAUUUUUUCACCUCGGGUGUUACAUGCUGGAAAAAAGACAUCUCACUACAAACAGCUCUUCUGGAAGAUGUACUCAUUCUCCACUUGUUUGGAGUGUGGGUUUGAGUACAAAUGCUGCACACCUGGGACUUUUUGUGUAAAUUGGUGAUGAAUAAACUAGUUGUUAGUCUAGAGGAAAACUAAAAAUCUAAUUUACUUAUGUCAUCCCUUGGAGUUUAAAAGUUCUGGACACCAUUCAAUUGACCUACAGAACUGAGAAAUUAUUCCUAAUGUUUGUAAAUGUUCACUGUCAACUAUAAACCCUAGUUCUUAUUGUGCUUCUUGUGUAUU